rnacentral:lncRNA from 1 species
AUGAAUACAGCAACCUUUAUUUAUUCAAGCAACAGACUAGUUCCUGGAGAGUUACUGGCAGCACAAGGCAUCAGAUGGCAAGAGAGACACAUGACAGAGUCAGAGCUGACUGGCGGCUUGGAAAGACCCAACCUGAGUUGUUGGCUGGGAAGACCACCUCUACACCAUCCUCACUCAGGUAUGUGGUCCGAAGCAGCUCCAAGGCUGCUUGCCUUGGAGGGGAAAGAUGCUUGCCAACACACUGGAAGUUACUUUUCACAUUUCUGUGGACAAAGAAAGUCACCUACGUGGCACUACUGUACAGAAAGCAAG